UUUAUGAUGCUGUUCUACUGAAGUUGCAUUAAAAAUGGAUUUACAUUUCCUUGGUUGUGGUGUGGAUGUUCAUCGAAGUCGACUAGAUUCCUUGAAAUAAAACAAGCUUCGUAGAUUGCUGGCGAACACCAAUUUUGUUUUUUUGGAGGAUAUCUUUAUUAUAUCGCUUACCAUAGGUCGAAAGUCGUAAAUUGAUGUAUUUUUCAAUGAUCUGUUUGAUAAGCUGUGAUGAAUGUAGAUCUUCAGUUAUUGCUUCGUGAUCAACAUCAUGCUCGUUGAGUUCAGGAAGAAGCUCUUUCUGCAAGCUCUUGGUUAAUAAGAUGAACCAUUAUAGUCUUCAAGUUUCUCCUGCUGGAAAUUUUUUGUUUUUUUGAACGAGUUUCAUGAAUGAGGACUUGAAAAGCUCUUUCAGAUGCAAAUAUUAUUUUGGUCACACCAUUAGAAGGGAGAACAAGACCACCACGAUUCUUCAAACUGAUUAAAUUUAAAGAUAAAGAUGUAGUAGUUUGGAAGUGUGAAUAAUUGUGAUCAUGAA